GCUCCAGUGGCGCAAUCGGUUAGCGCGCCGUACUUAUAAUGCGGAGGUUGUGAGUUCGAGCCCCACCUGGAGCA
rnacentral:tRNA from 1 species